rnacentral:rRNA from 1 species
GAUGAACGCUGACAGAAUGCUUAACACAUGCAAGUCAACUUGAACUUCGGUUUGGGUGGCGGACGGUUGAGUAACGCGUAAAGAACUUGCCUCACAGCUAGGGGCAACAUUUGGAAGCGUAUGCUAAUACCUGAUAUUAUGAUUAUAUGGCAGCGUACAAUUAUGAAAGCUAUAUGCGCUGUGAGAGGGCGUUGCGUCCCUUUAGCUAGUUGGAGAGGCAACAGCUCACCAAGGCGAUGAUGGGUAGCCGGCCUGGGAGGGUGACCGGCAACAAGGGGACUGAGACACGGCCCUUACCCCUACGGGAGGAAGCAGUGGGAAAUAUUGGACAAUGGACCGAGAGUCUGGUCCAGCAGUUGUGUGUGCAAGAUGAGGUUUUUCGGAAUGUAAAGUGCUUUCAGUUGAGGAGAAGAAAAUGACGGUACCAACAGAAGAAGUGACGGCUAAAUACGUG